GCGUUGGUGGUGCAAUGGUAGUCAUAGCUGCCUUCCAAGCAGCUGUUCCGGGUUCGAUUCCCGGCCAACGCC